rnacentral:rRNA from 1 species
CAAUAGCGUAUAUUAAAGUUGUUGCAGUUAAAAAGCUCGUAGUUGAAUGUUGGUGUCGAACGAGCGGUCAGCUUCGGCUGUACUGCUCUCUCGACUCCUUCCUUCUGUGGACUACGUCGCACUUUACUGUGUGGCGCUAGGACGCAGAUCGUUUACUGUGAAAAAAUUAGAGUGUUCAAAGCAGGCCGUACGCUUGAAUACAUUAGCAUGGAAUAAUGGAAUAGGACGUCGGGCCUAUUUUGUUGGUUCUAGGACCGUCGUAAUGAUUAAUAGGGACAGUUGGGGCCGUUUAUAUUCCGUAGUCAGAGGUGAAAUUCUUGGAUUUACGGAAGAUAAACUACUGCGAAAGCAUUCGGCAAGGAUGUUUNCGUUA